CUACGGGGGGCAGCAGUGGGGAAUAUUGCACAAUGGAGGAAACUCUGAUGCAGCAACGCCGCGUGGAGGAUGACACUUUUCGGAGCGUAAACUCCUUUUAUAUAGGAAGAAGAUGACGGUACUAUAUGAAUAAGCGCUGGCUAACUCCGUGCCAGCGGCCGCGGUAAUACGGAGGGCGCAAGCGUUACUCGGAAUCACUGGGCGUAAAGAGCGUGUAGGCGGAUUAAAAAGUCAGAAGUGAAAUCCUAUAGCUUAACUAUAGAACUGCUUCUGAAACUCUUAAUCUAGAAUAUGGGAGAGGUAGAUGGAAUUUCUGGUGUAGGGGUAAAAUCCGUAGAGAUCAGAAGGAAUACCGAUUGCGAAGGCGAUCUACUAGAACAUUAUUGACGCUGAGACGCGAAAGCGUGGGGAGCAAACAGGAUUAGAUACCCGCGUAGUC
rnacentral:rRNA from 1 species